rnacentral:SRP_RNA from 1 species
GCCAGGCAUGGUGGCGCAUGCCUGUAGUCCCAGGCACUCAGGAGGCUGAGGCAGGAGAAUUGCUUGAACCGGGGAGGUGGAGAUUUCAGUGAGAAUCGCUUGAAUCUGGGAGAAGGAGAUUGAGAUCGCGCUACUGCACUCCAGCCUCGGUGACAGAGCGAGACUCUGUCUCAA